GGCGACAGGGACCCACCGCCGCCUCCUCCUUCUUCUCGCGAGGCUUCCCUGCGCGGGGCAUGCGCGUGGCGGGCAGCGCCGUGAGGGGAGAAGGGGUGGGCGCUGCCCGCACCCUCCGGAUCGGUGCUGGGAAACGGUGUGAGGGACGCUGCGGGACCCUCCCUCGCCUGAAGAGGCACCGGCGAUCCAGCCGCACUGCUGCGGCAUCCCCCUGUCACGGCAAUGCCACUUGUCUUCCGAAACGUCCCUACAGAGGCGGGAUCACUCGGGAUCAGUAAUUGGCAAUAACUGACAGAUCACAGAAUCAAUUAGAUUGGAAAAGACCUCUGAAAUCAUGGAGUCCAACCUAUGACCGAACACCACCAAGGCACUAGGUGCACGCCCAGUUUUUCCUUAAACACCUCCAGAGACGGCAACUCCACCACCUCCCUGGGUAACCCAUUCCAUUCUUACGUGAAGAAAUUCCUCCUUAUGUCCAACCUAAACCUCCCCGGCACAACUGAAGACUAUAAUGUUUAAAGGACAAUUACCCAUCCAAAUAAGGGCUUGUGUGUUCCUCCCUGGCUGAAUUCCUGCUUUUGCACAGCUGGAUAAGCCACCAUUAGUGUAUAUUCAGCACACAGGACCUGAGCAUCCAGUCAAGAGUGCAGUGGGAAACCAGUUUGUCUCAGUUCCAUGUCAAACCUUUGCUAAGCAGCUUGAAACGCUUCUGUCCCUCCAUGUGAUUUUAUAGGGCUGCAAGGACAACAGCCUGGCCAUGAGAUUCCUUCUGGAAAGAAACUAACCAGUUUACAGUAGCAAGGCUUGGUAUUUGAUUUCAGCUGGGGAAAGGAGUACUGGACGGGGAGAAGACAUGAAGGCCUUCUCUAAAAGUCACACUGCUAUGAACUACAUGUAUUUCAACUAAAGUCUUCCUUGCUCAUAGUCUUAGGUCAUAUUUGGGAGAUGUGUUCCUUUUUGUAAUGUCAUAUAAACACCUGUAUCUAGUUGCUUGUUGGAGGAGGAAUUACAAUGCAAAUCUGUUUCCGAACUGUGUGUCCUUUAGAGAAACUGCUCUGAGCAGCUCUCGCCCACUUUUCAAUCCCAAUUGAUGAGUCAAUUUGUUGAGCAGGAUUCUAAGGUAGGAGAAGGAAUGCUUGGGGUGAAACACAUCAAGCUGCAGGGGACCAUUAAACAAGCAAGCUACCGGAGGGUCAUGCUUCGUGCAUGAGACCAGUCACGUCUCCCAUCACUUUCAUCAGUCAUCUCUGUUAUCAACAAAGCAUUGGGAAAAUUCCACAGAACAGGUGGACAGUAUAUUUAAAACUCUAUGUUUAAAGAAGUACUUAAGAUUUUAAGGUAGUUUUUUAAAAAUUUUUUUGGUGUAUCUAUAGAAAGAAUUUUUUAAUAAUUAUCUG